GACGAACGCUGGCGGCGUGCUUAACACAUGCAAGUCGAACGGAAAGGCCCCUUCGGGGGUACUCGAGUGGCGAACAGGUGGGUAACACGUGAGUAACCUGCCCUUGACUUCGGGAUAACUUCAGGAAACUGGGGCUAAUACCGGAUAGGAAUCCUUGCUGCAUGGUGGGGGUUGGAAAGCUUCGGCGGUUUUGGAUGGACUCGCGGCUUAUCAGCUUGUUGGUGGGGUAGUGGCUUACCAAGGCUUUGACGGGUAGCCGGCCUGAGAGGGCGACCGGCCACAUUGGGACUGAGAUACGGCCCAGACUCCUACGGGAGGCAGCAGUGGGGAAUAUUGCACAAUGGGCGGAAGCCUGAUGCAGCAACGCCGCGUGCGGGAUGACGGCCUUCGGGUUGUAAACCGCUUUCAGCAGGGGCGAAGCUUGUGGUGACGGUACCUGCAGAAGAAGCACCGGCUAACUACGUG
rnacentral:rRNA from 1 species